rnacentral:piRNA from 1 species
UGAGUCUGAGGGUGUCCUACACAUGGUUU